rnacentral:rRNA from 1 species
CCUACGGGAGGCAGCAGUGAGGAAUAUUGGUCAAUGGGCGUAAGCCUGAACCAGCCAAGUCGCGUGAGGGACGACGGCCCUACGGGUUGUAAACCUCUUUUGCCGGGGGACAAACGGCGGCACGCGUGCCGUCCCGAGGGUACCCGGAGAAAAAGCAUCGGCUAACUCCGUGCCAGCAGCCGCGGUAAUACGGAGGAUCCGAGCGUUAUCCGGAUUUAUUGGGUUUAAAGGGUGCGUAGGCGGCCUUUUAAGUCAGCGGUGAAAGUCUGUGGCUCAACCAUAGAAUUGCCGUUGAAACUGGGAGGCUUGAGUAUGUUUGAGGCAGGCGGAAUGCGUGGUGUAGCGGUGAAAUGCUUAGAUAUCACGCAGAACCCCGAUUGCGAAGGCAGCCUGCCAAGCCAUGACUGACGCUGAUGCACGAAAGCGUGGGGAUCAAACAGGAUUAGAUACCCUUGUAGUC